GCGUAGGUAACCUGCCUUGUAGCGGGGGAUAACUAUUGGAAACGAUAGCUAAUACCGCAUAACAAUGGAUGACACAUGUCAUUUAUUUUGAAAGGGGCAAUUGCUCCACUACAAGAUGGACCUGCGUUGUAUUAGCUAGUAGGUGAGGUAACGGCUCNCCUAGGCGACGAUACAUAGUCGACCUGAGAGGGUGAUCGGCCACACUGGGACUGAGACACGGCCCAGACUCCUACGGGAGGCAGCAUG
rnacentral:rRNA from 1 species